rnacentral:misc_RNA from 1 species
AUUUUUUUUUUUUUUUUUUUUGGCCGUGGUGCUCUUGGGGAAGGUCCUCUCUGCAGAUUGUGUGUUGAUAGGCUUGUGAGUUUGAUAUCCUGAUGGAGAAAGUGUCGAAGGAUAAUUGUUCAAAAGCAAGUCUGGAGGUGAGAACAAGUCUUUGGAUAGAUUUGCUUCAAGAAAAAUUCUUGAAUUUUGGAUUUGCCGCAUUCGUUCAUCAAAGUUGGAGUUAAUGUCUUUAGAGUUCUAGCUGUUGAGAUCUAAUAGGAGGUACUCUGUGUUAGUUUUGAUAGAGAGAUGGUCUUUUCUCAAUGGUUUCUGCUUCCCCUAAGCAAGGAUCGUCUAUAAAUGAAGACUUCAUUGUUUUCCUUUGAUUGAGCAGUGAUUGUGUAUUCCGCAAGUAUAUGGGUCGUUCAAGUAUUAAAGAAAAGAUAUCGUUCCACAGAGAUUUAUUGUUUGAGUAUCAAACUAUAAAAUUCACGAUUAUUUGAGCUAUCGAUA